UUAGGAAUCUUGGACAAUGGGCGCAAGCCUGAUCCAGCCAUGCCGCGUGAGUGAUGAAGGCCUUAGGGUUGUAAAGCUCUUUCAGCGGGGAAGAUAAUGACGGUACCCGCAGAAGAAGCCCCGGCUAACUUCGUGCCAGCAGCCGCGGUAAUACGGAGGGAGCUAGCGUUGUUCGGAAUUACUGGGCGUAAAGCGCACGUAGGCGGCUAUUCAAGUCAGAGGUGAAAGCCCGGGGCUCAACCCCGGAACUGCCUUUGAAACUAGGUAGCUAGAAUCUUGGAGAGGUCAGUGGAAUUCCGAGUGUAGAGGUGAAAUUCGUAGAUAUUCGGAAGAACACCAGUGGCGAAGGCGACUGACUGGACAAGUAUUGACGCUGAGGUGCGAAAGCGUGGGGAGCAAAC
rnacentral:rRNA from 1 species